rnacentral:tRNA from 1 species
UACAGGGUAGCCUAGUGGACAUGGCAUCUGCCCGGUAAGCGGAACACUGUGGGUUCGAUUCCCAUCCCUGGAC